rnacentral:rRNA from 1 species
AAGUCGUAACAAGGUUUCCGUAGGUGAACCUGCGGAAGGAUCAUUACCGAGUUAGGGUCUCCCUCGUGGGGCCCGACCUCCCAACCCUGUGUCUAAUAAACCUGUAUGUGUUGCUUCGGCGGAACGGCAGUCGGCCCUUCGGGGUGCAGACAGUCGCCGGGGGGUUCACGGCCGUGAGGCUGCCCCUGGAGAGUUUCCGCCGAUGGCCCAACCAAACAAACUCCCAAACCAAAAUUGUAACACCUAAAACUUCUGAAACAAACCUUUUGAUAUACCAAUCAAAAACAAAACUUUCAACAACGGAUCUCUUGGUUCUGGCAUCGAUGAAGAACGCAGCGAAAUGCGAUAAGUAAUGCGAAUUGCAGAAUUUCCGUGAGUCAUCGAAUCUUUGAACGCACAUUGCGCCCUUUGGUAUUCCGAAGGGCAUGCCUGUUCGAGCGUCAUUAUCCUCUCUCAAACCCCCGGGUUUGGUGUUGGACCGCGUUGGACCGCCUCCAUGGCCAACUGGUCUCAAAGACAAUGACGGCGUCCCAGGGACCCUCUUCGCACUGAGUUCUCCGGAGCACGCGUAGAGUUUCAAGGGCCCAGGGACCCGGUCGCCUCUAAUCUAUUUUUCAGGUUGACCUCGGAUCAGGUAGGAAUACCCGCUGAACUUAA